rnacentral:rRNA from 1 species
CCACCUUUGACAUGUACGGAAGUUUCCAGAGAUGGAUUUGUGCUCGAAAGAGAACCGUAACACAGGUGCUGCAUGGCUGUCGUCAGCUCGUGUCGUGAGAUGUUGGGUUAAGUCCCGCAACGAGCGCAACCCUUGUCAUUAGUUGCUACAUUUAGUUGGGCACUCUAAUGAGACUGCCGGUGACAAACCGGAGGAAGGUGGGGAUGACGUCAAGUCCUCAUGGCCCUUAUAGGUGGGGCUACACACGUCAUACAAUGGCUGGUACAAAGGGUUGCCAACCCGCGAGGGGGAGCUAAUCCCAUAAAACCAGUCGUAGUCCGGAUCGCAGUCUGCAACUCGACUGCGUGAAGUCGGAAUCGCUAGUAAUCGUGGAUCAGAAUGUCACGGUGAAUAC